rnacentral:rRNA from 1 species
CCUGCCCAGUAAGAGGGGGGAUAACAUCCGGGAAACGGGUGCUAAUACCGCUAUAGUUUUCUUGAUCGCAUGAUUGAGAAAGGAAAGACGGGCCUUUGUGCUGUCGCUUAUGGAUGGACCCGCGGCGUAUUAGUUAGUUGGUGAGGUAACGGCUCACCAAGACGAUGAUACGUAGCCGACCUGAGAGGGUGAUCGGCCACAUUGGGACUGGAGACACGGCCCAAACUCCUACGGGAGGCAGCAGUAGGGAAUCUUCCGGCAAUGGACGAAAGUCUGACGGAGCAACGCCGCGUGAGUGAAAGAAGGUUUUCGGAUCGUAAAACUCUGUUGUCAGAGAAGAACAAGUUGGAGAGUAACUGCUCCAGCUUUGACGGUAUCUGACCAGAAAGCCACGGCUAACUACGUGCCAGCCGCGGC